rnacentral:rRNA from 1 species
AAGAUUAAGCCAUGCAUGUCUAAGUAUAAACAAAUUCAUACUGUGAAACUGCGAAUGGCUCAUUAAAUCAGUUAUAGUUUAUUUGAUGGUAUCUUGCUACAUGGAUAACUGUGGUAAUUCUAGAGCUAAUACAUGCUGAAAAGCCCCGACUUCUGGAAGGGGUGGUAUUUAUUAGAUAAAAACCAAAUGGGUGCAAGCCCUCUAUGGUGAAUCAUGAUAACUUCUCGAAUCGCAU